rnacentral:rRNA from 1 species
CCUACGGGAGGCAGCAGUGGGGAAUAUUGGGCAAUGGCCGAAAGGCUGACCCAGCGACGCCGCGUGUGGGAGGAAGCCCUUCGGGGUGUAAACCACUGUCAGGAGGGACGAAAGAGUCGGGGGUGAAUAAUCCCCGGCAGUGACGGUACCUUCAAAGGAAGCACCGGCUAACUCUGUGCCAGCAGCCGCGGUAAU